rnacentral:rRNA from 1 species
UUUUUUGAACGCAAGUUUGCGCCCGAUGCCAUUAGGUUGAGGGCACGUCUGCCUGGGUGUCACAUAUCGAAACCCCCUGCCAAUUUCCCUUUGAUUAUUGUGCAGGGUGGAUGUUGGCCUCCCGUGAGCUCUUUUGUCUCAUGGUUGGUUGAAAAUUGAGACCUUGGUAGGGUGUGCCAUGAUAGAUGGUGGUUGUGUGACCCACGAGACCAAUCAUGCGCUGCUCUAUUGAAUUUUGGCCUCUUUUACCCAUAUGCGUUUCUAAACGCUCGUGAUGAGACCUCAGGUCAGGCGGGGCUACCCGCUGAAUUUAAGCAUAUCAAUAAGCGGAGGAAAAGAAACUAACAAGGAUUCCCUUAGUAACGGCGAGCGAACCGGGAUAAGCCCACCAUGAGAAUCGGUCGCCCUCCGGCGUUCGAAUUGUAUCGAAAAAAAAACGCUUAAAAUUA